AAAAGAAGAGAAAAGAAAAGAAAUAGGAACUGAUGGCCUACAUCAGGAGUGCUUCUGGGGUAAUGAAUGGAACUAGAGAAGACAAUCCUCCUCUAGCCAUUAAUUAAAAUUGCCUUUCUAUCAUAGGUCACACUACACUCAAUUAGCUAAGAACAAAAAACCUAACAAAGCACACCAACGUCAACAACUUGCCAACUGAACUACUUCCCAUUCUUGAUUCUUCCCCCUUCGCUUUUCUUCCUCUCCUCUACUCUUAUAACUUUAGCAAAACUCAGAAAUG
rnacentral:misc_RNA from 1 species